rnacentral:misc_RNA from 1 species
AUUAACUAGUUUAGCCAAGGUAAAAAUUACACAACUUGAGUUCGGGACUACCUUUGUAAAUUCUACUAUCUGAAACGCAUUUAGAAUGUCUGAAAAUACUAGAAAUGACUGUAAACAUGAUGACCUUCCUGGUCGGCCCACUGAUCAUCUAAACUAGGCUGAAAACUCAUUCUCAAAAGUCUGGGAGUUACUACCGAUCCAAUCACACCAAACUAUCUAGAUCGUCCGAUGAUCGCCUUUUCUAAAUAGUGUCUGAUUGAAGCAAAGUCAGUCCCAUCUCAAAGGUUUCAUCGCGCUGAUCUCAACGGUGAUCUAGGAUCCCUGAUCCGAUGGUCGGAUUGCUAAAAAAAUAGUCAAAAAGCUGCUGCCACCUAUUUUCUCUUUCCUCUCUCUUUCUCUCAUCAGAUCGUUUUCCUCCGACAUCGAUUCCAG